rfam:Ixodes scapularis strain Wikel colony gcontig_1108379553999, whole genome shotgun sequence.
CUAGUUAAUUGUACUUCAUCAGGUGCUCUGGAGUUCGGUUCGCACAACCAGGCAUCUUUUGGAGUGCAAAUGAUAAG